rnacentral:rRNA from 1 species
CGAACCGUGCAAACGUUGUUCGGAAUCACUGGGCUUAAAGGGCGCGUAGGCGGCUUGUCAAGUCAGGGGUGAAAUCCUGCAGCUCAACUGUAGAAGUGCCUUUGAUACUGACGAGCUCGAGGGAGGUAGGGGUCGCUGGAACUUCUGGUGGAGCGGUGAAAUGCGUUGAUAUCAGAAGGAACGCCGGUGGCGAAAGCGAGCGACUGGAUCUCUUCUGACGCUGAGGCGCGAAAGCUAGGGGAGCAAACGG